GUUCCCAUAGCUUACACCUCCAAGCAUGGCCUGAAG
rnacentral:tRNA from 1 species